AAUCGGAAUUACUGGGCGUAAAGCGCACGCAGGCGGUCUGUCAAGUCGGAUGUGAAAUCCCCGGGCUCAACCUGGGAACUGCAUUCGAAACUGGCAGGCUAGAGUCUUGUAGAGGGGGGUAGAAUUCCAGGUGUAGCGGUGAAAUGCGUAGAGAUCUGGAGGAAUACCGGUGGCGAAGGCGGCCCCCUGGACAAAGACUGACGCUCAGGUGCGAAAGCGUGGGGAGCAAACAGGAUUAGAUACCCUGGUAGUCAAGGGCGAAUUCGC
rnacentral:rRNA from 1 species